GAACCUGAUGCAGCCAUGCCGCGUGUGUGAAGAAGGCCUUCGGGUUGUAAAGCACUUUCAGUUGUGAGGAAAAGUUAGUAGUUAAUACCUGCUAGCCGUGACGUUAACAACAGAAGAAGCACCGGCUAACUCCGUGCCAGCAGCCGCGGUAAUACGGAGGGUGCGAGCGUUAAUCGGAAUUACUGGGCGUAAAGCGCACGCAGGCGGUUUGUUAAGCUAGAUGUGAAAGCCCCGGGCUCAACCUGGGAUGGUCAUUUAGAACUGGCAGACUAGAGUCUUGGAGAGGGGAGUGGAAUUCCAGGUGUAGCGGUGAAAUGCGUAGAUAUCUGGAGGAACAUCAGUGGCGAAGGCGACUCCCUGGCCAAAGACUGACGCUCAUGUGCGAAAGUGUGGGUAGCGAACAGGAUUAGAUACCCUGGUAGUCCACACCGUAAACGCUGUCUACUAGCUGUGUGUGUCUUUAAGGCGUGCGUAGCGAAGCUAACGCGCUAAGUAGACCGCCUGGGGAGUACGGCCGCAAGGUUAAAACUCAAAUG
rnacentral:rRNA from 1 species